rnacentral:misc_RNA from 1 species
UUGAACUACAACUCUAGGUUCUCUAACUGUCCUACUCCCUCCUAGUGCAGAUACACCUUCACUUUCGUUUUCUCUUUUCCAUCUUUUUGAGUCUGGUUCCUCUUCAUCAAGAUCAUCUCCUCUUGACCUACUACUCUUUUGAGAAGUGUGUUCAUGAUCAUCAUCCCCAAAUGAAAUCGAAGAAUUCUCAGGUGUUGCAACGGAAUCCAUUUGUCCAUUUGAACCAUAGGAUUGAUGAUCUGGAAUUUCAUUAGUUUGUGUAUUGUAAGAUUGGAAUGCAGAUGAAGCUGUGGAUGAUGACGAUCUUCUGGUAGACUGAGGCUUUGGAUGGUUGUGAUUACCCUUGUACACAAUUUCAGUAAUUUGACCAUCUAAAGAUCUCUCAACCUUCUUCUUGGUGGGACAAUUUGGGUAUGUACACUUGUAGUAGCUUCUCGGAUUUUCACUACCUUUUACUUGUUUCUGCCCGUAUUUCCUCCAAUUGUAUCCGUCAUCUGACCUUUUCUGCUCCCUUAUACUCUGAUUGUAUUGGUUUCCACUAUUGUUCUGAUCAUUAUUAUUCUGCAUAAAAUUCUGUACAGUGUUGAAUUCGGAUCUUCCAUUAGCAUUUUGAUCAUUCUGUUUUGUGGGCUCUUGACAAUUCCAUGCUUGCUGCCCCAGAGGGACAUGGUUAGUUUGAGAUUGAGAGAUUGAUGAUGCAGCUGUCCCUACUUGAGGCUGGAAAGAAAAAUCUGAGUAGUUUUUGUCUUCCUGUUUCACAUCCUGAUGACUACUGCUCUUCCAAUUAAAAGCACGAGAUGGAAAACUCCCAGUCGUCGGAGAUGGAAGAAGGUUUGAAGAAGACAAAAGAACAGGGGAGUCUAAAAGUUCAGUUGGACUUAAACCAGGAGGAAUAGCAAAG